rfam:Pongo abelii chromosome 14, whole genome shotgun sequence.
CAAAAGGCUUUUUUAAAAGCUACACUUUUUCUCUAGAAGUUCGGCU